ACAUGUUUUAUUUUUGUUCUAUUUGCAGAUAGCAUGUAAAAUAUUAUUGCAAAAAGGUAUCCUUCUUUCAAAGACUUCUGGCAGGUGUUUGAUAUGUUAGUUGUAUUGCUCAGUUUAGCUGCGGAAAUUGCCUUUUUUCUUCAACAUGAAAAACUCUUAUGUUACCACAUGGCAACAGAGGGCGCCACAUUUGUUAUCGUGCUUCGACUUUGGAGGAUACCACGUGCAUGUGACAUACGGAAAAAAGAAUACAAGAAACGUCUUGAAGAUCAGCAUCAUUUUUUGAGACUUACAAAAACCGAGACUGAACAGAAAUAUAAAAAAUUGGAAACCACCGUGCAAAACCAGUUAACAGAGAUAGAAACUUAUAGAAGAAUACUUAAGGAAAAUAAUUUAACCAUCAAAAAUGAACAU